CCAGGAGCUGGAGAGUACUUACCAUAAAAGAGAGGGCAAGCGCCUGUUCGGGAAGAAUCCCCAGCGCUGGCAGGUCCUGGACUCCCUGGAGAGGGGUCUGCUGCCGCCGCCGCCCACUCAGGGGCGCCCGAGUGACCGAAGCUUGGCGCCUGACCCGGAGGGCGACGAGUCCCGCGCUCAGGGCGCACGGGCCGCGCCUCGGCCGCUGGCCCCCGGCGCGCCGGGCGUCUUCCCCAGCGCCCUGAGCGCACGCAGCGGUAGCAGCAGCUGGGGCCCGGGCCCGGGAUGUGGUGUGUUCAUCGCCCUCCCCUGGGGCUGGGUGCUUUUGUGCGCGGGGCGCGCCGGCCGCCACGGCCAGCUCUGGAUGCUGCGAGGCUGCAGCUGAAAGCCGAUCUGGCUGAGCUCAUCCCUGAAGGCCACUAAUCCAAUAGCCGCGGAAGGCGCGGUCGCCGGGAACGCCCCUUCCCCCACCAUCCCGCGCCCCGGCCGUCCCAGCUCGGGCCGCUGCCGGCGCCGCCACCUUCUCGAGGCCACCAGCUGGCGGGAGAGGGAAGUGGAGCCCGCGCCCGCGCCCCU
rnacentral:lncRNA from 10 species